ACGCUAUACCAAACAGAGGCUUCUACUCUUCUGUUGCUCCAUCUUCUUCUUUACCUCACUUUUUUAAAAAUAAAAACAACAAAUAAUUCACCUGAAGAAAAAAAAAAGUUAACUUUUGCUAGAAAAAAUUCACCGAUGCAACGUGGAACUGCCGGAGCCGGAGGAGGUGGACUUUCCCGUUUCCGUUCAGCUCCGGCGACAUGGUUAGAAGCACUACUUGAGUCCGACACUGAGAACGAAGUUAUUCUUAACCCUUCUUCUACCAUUUUACACACUCCCAAUAAACCACCACCUCACCCAUCAACUCCGAAGCUUCCGGAGCUUAAACUGGAAACCGGCGGAGCUACUAGGUUCACUGGCGAUCCGGGUCUGUUUGAAUCCGGUGGUAGUAGCAAUUUUCUCAGGCAGAACAGUUCUCCGGCGGAGUUUCUUUCACAUAUAAGCUCUGAUGGUUACUUCUCAAACUAUGGAAUUCCGUCCAGUUUGGACUAUCUUUCUCCAUCCGUUGAUGUUUCGCAGUCCGCUAAGCGAACCCGAGACGGUGAUUCCGAAAGUUCGCCCAGAAAAUUAGCAUCCCAGUUGAAGGGAGAGUCAAGUGGGCAGUUACAUGGUUCUGGUGGGUCGCUGGAUGCUGAAAUGGAGAAUCUCAUGGAUGAUUUGGUGCCUUGUAAGGUUCGAGCUAAGCGUGGCUGUGCUACCCAUCCUCGCAGCAUAGCGGAGCGGGUUCGUCGAACGCGUAUAAGUGACAGAAUUAGGAAGCUUCAGGAACUGGUGCCAAAUAUGGACAAACAAACCAACACAGCCGACAUGUUGGAAGAAGCAGUUGAAUACGUCAAGUUUCUGCAGAAGCAGAUUCAGGAACUUACGGAGCAUCAGAAGAAAUGCACGUGCUCAAUGAAAGAUCAAUAAUGAGAAGAAGAGAGCUCCACUAGAGUAUAUAGGCAAUAGUUUUGUUAGUUGCAUGCAGUUUAGAAAUGGUCGGGGUAUUUUGUACUUUUAGGAUUUAGCGUUCAGAUGCUGCACCCCCAAUACUUGCAUGUUUAUGAAGUCCAUAUAGAUAGCUUUUCUUAAACUGAAGGUGCAGUAUUACUAGUGCAGUUUUGUCUUUGCAAAAUGGAGCUUUUUGGAAUUUUUCAUUUCUUUGAUUGUGCAUUUUACAUUGUUGAUAAUACAGGAUUGAGUUCGUUCAUGAUUAUUUAUUAGUUACUAGUUUAACAAGGUUCAGUUGCUUUAUUAAAUAUAUGUACUCAGGUUUUAAAAAAAUUAGAGGGCUGAAUGUAUCGACUCUGUUGAUCUGAAGACCUUAUUCACUUAUUGACAUUUACCAUGUUACCCUUUGAGGUUUAGGACUGCUUAAGAAUGUCUUCUUAUCGGGUGAUUAUACAUGUCGCCUGUUAAGCAUGAACACUUUUGAGUAGAUGCAGCUCUAGAAUUUUUAGAACAUGGGUGCACCACUGGAAUUGAUCCCUAUUCUUCUAGGUAAAUAACUCAACAAUUAACUAAGUGCACCAUUUAGCCUUCUUGGAGUAUAGGUGUUAGUAGAUAAUAUUAUACCAAUUCAAAAGAAUAUAAAAUAUGUACAUAAAAUACCUAGUUUCACCUAUAGACCAUGGGUUCAUGUGCACCAUAAUCUACCCAAUAAAUCCACCCUUGCUUUUGAGAUGCGUUUAAUGGCCAAGUUCCUAGUUAUGUACUUGAAGGUCUUGAGGAUGGCCCAAAAGAGAGAAAAUAAAUAAAUAAAUAAAUAAAUAAAGCAAAAGAAGAUUUCACCUCCUCUUCCUCAUGAAAGACUGAUGAUAUGAAAGGUCAAGUGUAUCCUUUCGGUUACACACACAAAUAGACAUUCUUGUGAAGUGAGUAUUAAUGCUGGAAUAGUUUGGGUGUUAUGAAUCAGCCCAAGCCCUGGGUCGAUAUCCAUAGGGAUGUCACACAAGCAACUAUUGGGCUGAGAAAUUGAAACAAAAGACCUUCACAAAGGUUGAUUUGGGAUCCAGGCCCAAUUAGCAACUAGUUUAAAAGGACCCUUAGUUAGAAAGAAUAGUUUAUGCGUAUUAUGAUCAUGCUUAGGCAAAGUCUAUAUCUCUCAUCCUACUUUCUCUACAUCUAGUUCCUCGUCUCCUUCUUCAUUCGAUCUUAGUUCUUACUUUCAACUGUAUUUCGGUUUGGGCUUUUGCCUUUUGAGUUGUUGCAUUUACUUUGUGGAAUUGUAAUUGAACUUUGCCUAUAGGUCUACACUUUUUUUUUUUUGAUGACAAGGGAAACCCGCAGCCGCGCACCCAAUAGCUCGCAAACCACAUAGGAGAGGUAUUCAGCACUAGGCAAUCCCAGUGCGACGAGCCGCUCCUAUAGGUCUACACUUUAUUUCUUCUUCAUUUAGUGCUCUGAUAAAAGAGCAAGUAUGCCUUAUCAAUAGAAAGUGGAAGUUUCUUGUAGAAGUGACAGAUAGCACAUCUUAACAUACCAUACAUAUUAAAUAUAAACCUAUAGGAAAAUCAUGUGUUCAUUAUACAUUAUGGAAGCAACUGGUGUGUAGAUUGGGAAAAAGCUCAGGUUAGUGUUAUCUGCUGGAAAUAAACAGGUUUUCGUAAAUCAUGUUUUACUUGGGAAGUAAGGAGGAGCUGAAGAAAUUAUAAUGUUGUAGCAUGUAUAUUAUCGGCAACAUCCCCAUGCACAUGUGUUCAUAGCAUUAUAAACAGUGCUGUUGCAGGGAUCAAUUGCCUGCUAUUCACUCUUAGCCCUGGUGAGUAAUCUUCUUAUUUGU